SWKMKRUUACUGCUAUCGRSAUUCGACUAAGCCAUGCGAGUUGAAUGUUCUUCGUGAACAUGGCGGACUGCUCAGUAACACGUGGACAACCUACCCUUGGGUCCGGCAUAAUCCUGGGAAACUGGGAAUAAUUCCGGAUAGGUCACCGAUGCUGGAAUGCGCGGUGGCCGAAAGCUCCGGCGCCCGAGGAUGGGUCUGCGGCCUAUCAGGGUUGUAGUGGGUGUAACGUACCUACUAGCCUACGACGGGUACGGGUUGUGAGAGCAAGAGCCCGGAGAUGGAUUCUGAGACACGAAUCCAGGCCCUACGGGGUGCAGCAGGCGCGAAAACUUUACAAUGCGGGAAACCGUGAUAAGGGGAUCUCGAGUGCCAGCAUAUAAUGUUGGCUGUCCAGAUGCCUAAAAAGCAUCUGUUAGCAAGGGCCGGGCAAGACCGGUGCCAGCCGCCGCGGUAACACCGGCGGCCCGAGUGGUAACCGCUAUUAUUGGGUCUAAAGGGUCUGUAGCCGGCCAGGUAAGUCCCUUGGGAAAUCUGGCAGCUCAACUGUCAGGCUGCUAGGGGAUACUGUUUGGCUUGGGACCGGGAGAGGUGAGAGGUACCUUGGGGGUAGGGGUGAAAUCUUGUGAUCCUCGAGGGACCACCAGUGGCGAAGGCGUCUCACCAGAACGGGUCCGACGGUAAGGGACGAAAGCUAGGGGCACGAACCGGAUUAGAUACCCGGGUAGUCCUAGCCGUAAACGAUGCUCGCUAGGUGUCAGUCACGGUGCGACCGUGAUUGGUGCCGUAGGGAAGCCGUGAAGCGAGCCACCUGGGAAGUAUGGCCGCAAGGCUGAAACUUAAAGGAAUUGGCGGGGGAGCACUACAACSSGUGGAGCCUGCGGUUUAGUG
rnacentral:rRNA from 1 species